AUUUGAUGAUCGAUGUUUUUUAGUUUUUAGUUUAAAAUCUUUAUAAAAAUCUUUAUAAAAAAAAAAAGGAGCCCGAAUGCAUGCAAAUCCCACUGAUAAGCCUGAGUCUUACUAGCACCAAGGCAGAGGCCGCCCUAGGAAAUCCAUGAGGCUUUCCCAGGAAUAUCACGGUCAUUUUCACAGUUCACCUGUUUUCCUCUGAAGAGCUUCAGCCAAGCACUUGCAAGCAGCACACAAGAAAGAAUGCAUAACCCGGUGUGCAGGUAAAUAUAGAACAUGGGGUAUUGACUUGCAGGUUGGUUGGAGGAAGCUGGGAGCCGUAGUCCAAGCUUCUGGCGGGCACCCAGUUGGAGAAGGCUGUGCUAGGAAGUUGAAGAUUCUGCUCUUCUGCAAAGCUGGGGCAGUUCAGGGGCAGGAAAGCGGGGAGAAGCGCAUUUCCCUGCACAGCAUGGGAAGGGGCUCCCUUACCUGGUACAGGUGCCCUGCCUACUUCUGAGCAGGCUGCUUGUAUUUCCAGACAGACCUCUUACCGAAUAGCGCCAACAAGGACGGUGGAAUGGGGUUGGUCUCUCAGCCGCACCCACUUUACCUCUGACGGCUCCCACCACCAGAAUGUCCCGCCCCUUUCCUUGGGGGUGUCUCCAAAACAGAAGCCACCCCUUGGGCUUCAAAGGGCCCUGCUCUUGCAACGGGCUGGCUGGCGCAGGGAUUUCAAGAGAGCUGCAGGGAGGGGCAAACUCAAAAGGCCUCGUGCCGGCCUCCCGCGACAACUCGCUCCUCGCCAGGGAGGCUUGCAGGUGCUUGCAGCAAGCACGGGCCUUCGAACCCAGCAGUAAAAAAGAAUUAAUGCCAAGGCAGCUGCUUUUACGCCCUCCCUCGCUCUUAAAGCCUCUUGGCCAAACUCCCUGCCUGUGGUCCGUUUUCGCCCAUCUGCUCGCACAAAAGGGGCCGAGGGAGAGUGAGCUGGGAGGCUGACAUCGGGGCAUUCCUGCGCACUGCUUCACCUUUGCGUUUUAGCAUUCCUGGCAAGGAAGACACGGCACUACCCCACGCAAGUGCACGCAUGACCACGCCACCCACGGCUCCGGGCUCGUGCCUGCCAUCUUGCCGCUCACGCUUGCUUGGGGCGGUCGCGGCUAAAUCAGCAAAAAAAUAAUGACGAGCUUGUCCGCUUCCCAUCUUGAAGGCAUUUUAAGCAAAACUGGGCAGCCGGCCUCUUCACACUUCAGAGGAAUCCUGUAACAUACUUGGCACACGGGAACUGCUUGCCCUGGAGAAAGCUCUCCGUCCCAGCCUCCUUAAACGGGAGGAAACCCCGCAGAGACACUUCUCAUGUAAUGCAUGAAGCACUCGGUUUAGGAGAGCACUGAGAGACACAUGCGGAACGCGCCCGUUUGAACAGGUUGCUCGGCAUUCUGCAGAAAUGCAUGGCUGAAUCGGCUCUCAAGCACGAGCGAUUCAUGAGGGGCAUCCCCCAAAUUGAAGAAAUAACCCCUGAAGGAUGGCUAAAUCACUCAUCCAUGAUAACCGUUCUAAGGAAGAAAUCCCUUUGUUAUAGAUGAUGCCACCAACCGGGACAAAAUAGGGGCCCAGACAAGCAAACAAACCUUAAGAGAGAAGAAACAGAGAGUUUCUCUGUCAAGGAAUCUGUAAUUUGUGGUCUGCAAACUUCCCAAGCCCUUUCAUGCAAAAAGCAACAUCUGCCCCACCAGCCUUUUUUCUCAGCACCCUCAUCUGGGCAGGAAGCAGGGAUCUUGGCACUGUUCAAAAGCAAGGAGGUGAGAUCUCCCAAGAGGUCAAGACCACCAAGAGAUCUCCCGGGAAAUUGAGUUACGACCGGCCCAUCCCCAUCUCUUGCACAGAGGAAGGAGCAGAAUUAAAUGGGGGAACAAAAAGACUUGCAUCUAAAGAUGGGUGGUCUUGGAGGUCUUCUCGUUCAUAUCCUACUCAACGCCCUGAAAGAUGGCUGUCCAAGCCUCCAAUGAAAUGCCUCCAGUGAAGGAGGGCCCGUUACUUCCUGAGGCGGCUUGCAGUCCUGUCCAAAGUGUUGGUUAUUAGGAUGCUUAGGAGAAAUUUGCUUCCCUGCAAAUUACAUCCACCGCUCUGUUCUUGUCUUCUGGAACCACAGAGGACAAAUAUGCCCCAACCAUCAGCCUGCAACUCCUCCAGAGAGCUGAAGGUUGCCUUCUUCUGGAUGCACUCUAGCUUGCCAAGAGCCUUCUGAAAAUCCAGGAUGGAACCCUUAUUCCAGAAGAAUUCCGACCAGUGGAAAGUUCUUACAGGCUGAAUCGGUGUGAUAAAAGGAAGGCAGGAACACACCACUGCCCGAGGGGAGGCAUUAAAGAUAUAAUGAAUACAUCUCAAACCAUGGA